UACGAGGGGGGCGAGCGUUGUUCGGAAUUAUUGGGCGUAAAGGGUGCGUAGGCGGUUUGGUAAGUCUCGUGUGAAAUCUCCGGGCUCAACUCGGAGCCUGCACGAGAAACUGCCGGGCUUGAGCGUGGGGAGAGGUGAGUGGAAUUCCUGGUGUAGCGGUGAAAAUGCGUAGAUAUCAGGAGGAACACCUGUGGCGAAAAGCGGCUCACUGGACCAUAACUGACGCUGAUGCACGAAAAGCUAGGGGGAGCAAAACAGG
rnacentral:rRNA from 1 species